GCGGAAAGGCUUCCUUCGGGAAGUACUCGAGCGGCGAACGGGUGAGUAACACGUGGAUAAUCAACCUCUUGCUCUGGAAUACCCCGGGGAAACUCGGAUCAAUGCCAGAUAAAGUGCGGUGCUGUCGGGCGCCGUACCAAAGAUAGCUUCGGCCUUCGGCGAGAGACGAGUCCGCGGCCCAUUAGCUAGUUGGCGGGGUAAUGGCCCACCAAGGCUACGAUGGGUAGCUGGUCUGAGAGGAUGAUCAGCCACACUGGGACUGAGACACGGCCCAGACUCCUANNNGAGGCAGCAGUGGNNAAUCUUGNGCAAUGGGCGAAAGCCUGACGCAGCAACGCCGCGUGCGGGAGGAAGGCCUUCNNNNNNUAANNNNNUU
rnacentral:rRNA from 1 species